rnacentral:lncRNA from 1 species
UAAAUAAACUCUGAUAUAAGGGAGGAGAUCUGCCUCGGGUGAAUCCAUGAGCAGCUAUCGAUAGGGAUUCAGCUUGUUAUUUCUCUUUAUAGUCGCUGUUUAUCUUGUGCCAGAAAAUCAGAUGUCAUUUUUUUCUUCCUUGAGUGUUUCUUCGGGGUUUACAGUGUUAGAAUGGCAUGGUCACUGGGAUGUGUCAUUCCUUUGCUCCAUUGUCACAGCUUGUAGCUAAUGUCUGUUGUUGCAUCUUUAUCAUGUUACUGGUGUUCAUCCUGUUGGUUAUACAUGUGGCUUCAGAUACUAAGAUUAUCUUAGCAAUCUACAUAUUCUGCAAUUCAGCAUUUCUUUGCGUGUGAAUACUGAAUAUAAUUUGUUGUGAAAUCUGCUUCUGAGACGAAUGCAAUUGGGACAUGGCUGUUGUGUAAACUCAAUAUUUCUUCGCCAGGAAAAAACGUGUGGUUCCUUUAAGAAGGAAAAAAAACUCAUGGUAUCCUAUAUAUCAUAGCAGUGCAGUUAAUUGAGCACAUAAUCUCUAUGCAGUUUAUAUUUUUGAGGCGUUUUAGGCAUAUUUAUACCACUCUUGCCCAAACUUUGGCUGGCUUGUGCUCUUUAGUGCUUGGGCUGUAGGUCACUGUGGUUAUUAGCUGACCAGGACUCUCAUUAUUGACUCUGUCAGGUUUUGGUGUUUCUACUUGAGUUUGUUCCCUCAUUGCAAGGUUGACUCCACCAUGCCUUGUCUUAACAUAUUUGUGUUUUUGAGGGUGAAAGCUGACGGAGCUGAGAUUGAGAUUGAGAUACCAAAGGUCAAUCGGCAAGAUGCAUGCUUCAAGUAGCUAUUAUCACUGGAACUUGGUAGUAUCUGGGAACACUCCAGGUAAGGAUUUUGUAUUCAGUGAUCUCUCUAACUCUUGAUGAAUGAGCACAAUGGUAGAGAUUGAAGGAAGAGAUCCAACAACUGACAGGGUCAGUUUCUUCCUGCAAUGUGUUCUCAUGCAAGUUCCAAGUCAGAUAUUUUUUCCUGGAACAAUGCUCUGAUAACUAAAUCGGUGCAGGGAACUCAAAGCCAUCUCCUUUGGUGUUUGCAUUCACCUGAAUUCUCAAAUUUAUCCCGGAUCUCUCGCAUUUUAAGGUGUGUAUUAUGGAGGCGCACUCGCGUGGAUGUGUCCGUGGCCGUGUGACACACGUACGUGAUACAUGCCAAAAUGUCGCCGAGGUGUCGGUGGACCUUGAUGAUGAAGAUGGUUCUGCCAAAGAGGUCAGUAUCCAGAUAUGUGACUCUGAGUGAUCAGCUGGCUGGUUGUCCCAUCGAAAAUGAGGUACACGUUUGCUUUGCGCUAUCAGCACGUCUCGUUUUCAGGCCUUUGUCCAGAAUAUUCCAGUACAAUGCAUUUGUUUUUGCUUCAGUCUUUUGCUUUUUCCUGGAUUCCAGUUUCAUUGGUAUGCUGCGCGCAGACUGUGAGGUUUUGGUGUAGUUAUUAUGAUUGUGCGUGUCGUCCAUUCAUUCACGGUUGAUUUACCUCACGGUUGAUUUACCACACAUUGUCUCACACUUUUGUUUGUUUCAUUUAUAUGACAAGUGAGGCGAGAGGUUGAUGAGGCUGUGAUUGAGAAACCAGAGGUCAAUCCGUGAUAAGAUCUAUGCUUGAAGUAGUUAUUAUAACUGGAAACAUGGCAUCUGGGAACAGACACUCACUCAGGUAAGCAGACGGUAGUAUUCAGUAACCUCCCUUCUGAAUUCACUUGGAAAAAACAAACCUCACUUCAGGUUGAAAGGUUGCGGAUUGCUCCUGAGAAACGAUCCUGGGUUGGCGCAUGGGAACUGAAAACCACGGGAUUCAAAUCUUGGUGCUCGCUUUUACCUGAAUCUACCUCAGAUCCUUUGCUAGUAGGGGACAUACUCGUGUGGCGUGCCUCAGGCGUUCUAGUACAUGCCAAGAUUCCACCAAGUUACCGGUGAAUGAUUGGUACGGACAUCUGCCUUGAUGACGAUUCGACCAAGAGGCUGGCUGGUAAUGCUAAGCAAUCGAUGGCCAGAUAGCCGGUUGUUCCAUCAAAAAACGCGAACAUGCUUGCUUGGCGACAUUGAGGUGUCAUUUCCACCGUUCGUCGUACGCCCUUGUCCACGAUAUUCCAAACCAUCCCUAUUUUGUUUCCUUUGUUCUUCUUGUGAAAUGGAUGUUUGAGCUGUCAAAUGUGAUGAGGGAGAAGAUCCGCCUUGGGUGAAUCCAUGAGCAGCUAUCGAUAGGAUUCAGCUUGUUGUUUCUCUUUAUAGUUGCUAUUUAUCUUAUGCCAGAAAAUCAGAUGUCAUUUAUUUCUUCCUUGAGCAUUUCUUUGGGGUUUACAGUGUUACAAUGGCAUGGUCACUGGGACGUGUCAUUCCUUUGCUCCAUUGUCACAGCUUUGUAGCCAAUGUCUGUUGUUGCAUCUUUAUCAUGUUACUGGUGUUCAUCCUGUUGGUUAUACAUGUGGCUUCAGUUACUAAGAUUAUUUUAGCAAUCUACUCCCUCUGUAAACUUUUAUAAGACGUUUUAGGUCACUUAGUGCCCAUAGAGGGAGUACAUAUUAGCCAAUUCAGCAUUUCUUUGCUUGUGUAAUUUGUUGUGAAAUCUGCUUCUGAGAUGAAUGCAAUUGGGACAUGGCUGUUGUGUAAACUUGGACAAACGGACAAUUUAACCCCAUUUCCUUGUAUUCCUGGGUAGUCAGCUCAAUCAACUCACUAUUUCGGUGGCGGGGAGGGGAGAGCGCCUACCGCCUAUCCAACGCCCGGGUUUGCAGUGUUUUUUUCUUUUUUCGAAACGAAGGCAAAAGCUAAGAAGGGUAACAGAAGUUUAUGACGAGGUCAUUACUCCUCAACAAAUGAGACUAAAGCCUACUCUCGCGGCAUAAUAGAGCCCAGGUGCCUAGCACCGGCGGUCACCCAUAACUUAGCCUCGUUCCGAACAUGCGCGAAGACGAUGGAAGGCAGUGUAGACUUCUUGCGAAAAACCCGUGCAUUCCUCUCGUUCCACAGUGCCCACGCCACAAGCAUGAGUGUGGUGGCAAUAGCUUUCUUCCUGUGACCAUGAGUAAGCACCACGGCAUACCACCAAUCUUGCACCGAAGGCAGGCCACCCCAUUGGUCAAGACGCAACUCCUACGCACCCAGCCACGUCUUUACGGCCUCCCACACACGGAUGGAGUACCUACACUUGAAGAGAAGGUGCGCCCUAGACUCCGGCUCCCUUUGACACAGCUGGCAUAGGCCACAGUUUGGCCAACCCCUCUUCUGCAAUCGAUCCGCGGUCCAAAUCCUAUUCUUGAUGACAAGCCAAGCAAAAAACUUGCACUUGGGCGGCGCCCAGUUAUCCCAGACCGCGGGCUUCAUGCGUGUGGUGAUGGCUCCCUCAAAUUGCGUGAGAUAGGCAGAAGCAGCGGAGUAAGAGCCAUUUGGCGUGCGAUCCCAAACGAUGGUGUCUGGAGUGUCAUGUUGCAAGAGAACAAUAUCAAGCCUCGCCCAAAGUGUGCAGAAUUGGUGGAUGUGGUUGACCGUGAGCCCUUGAGACAUUCAAUUCUCGAGAGCCAAGCAUUGUCCAGGAGUGCAUCCCGCACCGAAGAAUUCUUUCUUGCCGAGAUCUGAAACACGAGAGGAGCGAUAUCCUUGGGUUUUUCGCCACUGAGCCAAGGGGAUAGCCAGAACCUUGCCAACAGACCGUUGCCCACAGUAAUUGUGGUGACGUCGUAGAAAAGCUCCAUGUCCUUGGCAUCCCAAGGCUUGCUCAAAUCGACCCAAGCUCUGUCCGGCUCCGUCCACUCGUACUUGCAGUGUGUUUGUUUCUCAUGCAAGUUGCAACUGUGAUAAUAAUCAUCAGGCUUCUUCGAAUUGUUCCGAGUCUGAUUUUGCUUAUAAGCUUUUAAAUAACUAAACGGGUGCAGGGAGCUCAAAUCCAUCUCUUUUGUUGUUUGCAUUCAUGCGAAUUCUGGAAUUUAUCUCUCAUCUCUCGCAGUUUAGGUGUGCAUUAUUCCCGUACGUGAAUGCCAAAAUGUCACCGAGGUGUCGGUGGACCUUGAUGCUGACGACGACUCUGCCAAGAGGUCGGUGUCCAGAUCUGUGAAUGAUCAGUACGCCGAUUGUCCCAUCCAAACGUGGUACGCGUUGCCAUGCAUGCUCGUUUUCAGGUCUUUGUCCAGAAUAUUCCGUACCAGGCACUUUGUUGCGAAAUUGAUGUGGUAAAUGUCAGAUCACGGACGCAUCGGAAACACAUGGGAUCAUCAUACUCCAAGACUCGUACUUCUUUGUUCCUUUGUUUUUUCUUGAAUUCCAAUUUCAUUGGUAUUGCUGUGCGCGGUCCCUUAGACAGGGUUCGUGAAAAAAUAGAAGAAAAUGGCCUGGUUAAUUAACGAAAAUCCAGAUGAAAAUUGUUAGAACACGACCAAAAGUGAGGGCACCUGCUGACCUGCAAAGUCAUCAUCAUCAUUUCUCAUUGAGCAAACAACUUCGACUUCACGGCGGACGACCCAUGAAGACCUCUCUAAACAAAUGGCACACGAGAACCAAGUCAGCCUAUGCCAAAUAGCCGGCCAAACGCGCCGAGGAUUAGGCAGCUCCGAGUUUGGUCGUAGACUCACAAAAGAAAGAAGCACGCCUUGCCCUAACAUAGCCACAUCUGCCCAUCAUCCCUCCGCAUCGGCCCACAAAGCUACAACUCCGACUUCACGCUGAAGUACACAUCGAAUGGUCGAUGUCAAAGGACUUCCUGUGACUCUGCUACUCAUGCCACCAUUAUUGUUCCCACACAAGUAGCAACUCCACCAGGAGCGAGGCAGCUACCCCGCUACCCGCACUCGCAUCAUCGGCCGGGAACCUGCCGACCGCAAUGACGUGCGCAUCCAACCUCAGGAAAGUAUGAAGGGGAUUGAUGACCUUCAAGGCGAUGCCCCCAAGGGGUUAGCGACGUGGGAAAUGACACCGUCAUCCAACUCACACCGGAGUCUUAGGCCUUGUACAAUACAAGGUGCUUCGUAAAAUAAACCAUGUUUCCUUGAGAAUUCGUGCUUACUCUAUAGGAGGGGUGCCUACUUAAUCGUCUACCCUCUACAAAUAAGCACGAGUGCUUAAAAAAAGUGAUUUAUUUCUCUAAGCACCUUGCAUUGCACCGUGAUGAAUUCCCCCUCUGACAGAGUCUGGAAAAGACCUCCGGAUUGGAUCGUCAAACAGAGAGGCGUGGCCCCAGAAAAAUUAGGGUUAAUAUUCCGAAGUAUUUUCAGUAGUAUAUAGAAGCGUAGGCGUUGAAAGGAAAUGGAUGGAAGAUCCAGGGGCCCCAUGCGGCCCCACCAUGUGUCCCUGGGCGUGUGGUGGGGGUUGUGCCCCCCGGGUUGCUUCUUGUGCCUCUAAAAGCUUCCCAACCAAAAAAAGCUUUUGGGAUUUUUUUAGAUCUUUUGGAGCCCCGUAAAAUUGUUUUUCCCGGAAGUCCAAAAAUAUGCAGAAAACAAUAAUUGACAUUGGGCAUAAUAGGUUAGUCCAGAAAAAUAAUAAAAAUUUAUGUCAAAAUUCAAAACUAUGCCAAAAUGAUAUAAAUAUAGCAUGAAACAAACAAAAAUUAAAGAUACAUUUGUGAUGUAUCACACGUGUCCCCUUGGACUUGAAGAACAUGCGGUUCUCAGCGAGAAGUUGCGGAUCGUCCUUGACGAGCUUCCCCACCUAGGUGACAUUAUAGCGCUUGGCUUUGCAGUGCUCCUUCUCCUUGGCUAGGGAGACUACCCUAAUGGGAAGCGUGAGGAAGUCCGCGAUCAGGGUGUCGGUGGGGAAGUUGAGCCUCACCCGUGUCCCGUAGUAGCGGAGCAUCACAUCGUCGUACGAGCGUGCCGCCUCCUCCCUGAUGACAAACGUGCCAAUCCAGGCAAAUUUGACAAAUUUGACCUAUAGUCGAAAUCAAAUCACAGAAUGAACUGUCCGUGAAACUAUUUCACGCGGUUGACCCUUGGUGCCUAACUCUCAAGCGCUGCACUAGUGCAACGCCCAGGAGCUAGGCGCUGCACUAGUGCAACGCCCAGGAGCCAGGCGCUACACUGUGUAGUGUGGCGCCUAGCUCUCAGGCGCUGCACGCUGACUUGGGCACAUAUGGGUGCGACGCUGGCCGUGUAGCGCCUAUCUGUGAGGCGUUGCACAGUAGGGUGUGGCGCCGGCGUGGCGGACGCUACACAAAAGGGUCAGGGGAGUGAAAUAGUUUCGCAACCAGUUCAUUCUGUGAAAUGAUUUCGUCCUGAGGUCAAAAUUAUCAAAUUUGCCGCCAAUCCACUAGCGCUUUCCCAUGUCCGGGUUGAGGAUCUCCGCCACCCACCCGCCCCACAACCACUGCCUCGUACGAUGGUACCUCAGCGGUGGCGAUGGCGGCUGCGACAUGCCCAAUGGCAGGGAGCUCGCAAGGAAGAACUAUAAAAAAGUAUAUAAAUUUUAAAAUCAAAUGAAAAAAAUUAGCACGACCAUUGCUAACAAUUGGACAGAUAUUGAGUGCCAGAAAUUUGACGAAACAUAGAUGAAUCUACCUUUCACCAAAAUGUUGGCACUUAUUUUGAACCCCUAAAAUGUUUGAAAACAUGCACAACACAAAUUCAUUGCGAGCAAUACAAGGUUGGCUCGGCUCAAUGGUCAAAAUAUCACAAUUCAUUUGUUGUCUGUAUUGAUAGUGUAUUUGCCGAAAAACUAAAGGUAAACAUGGUUCCACGCGCACCCAUGUGAAUAGUAAAUUCAAAAAAUUACUAGGAAAAUUUAGAAAAUUCUAAAAUUUUGGGGAAUAAAACUUGGUCGUCCAUUCUAUUCAUGUGUGAAGUUUCGUGAAGUAUUGACACCGGUGGUAUUCUUAGUGAAGAAAAUACAAUUUGAAGUUUACUAUUCACCAAACAUUGUUUUUUAAAUAUAAUUCCGAUUUUGUCAUUUUUGCCCAGAAUACCAAGGGUGUCAUUUAUUCAUGAAACUUCAUAUGUGAGUAUACCGGAUGACAAUGUAUGUUACAAUUUUUUUCUAGUAUUUUUUUUGAAUUUAGUAUUCAUAAAGGGUGCACAUGGAAUCGUGUUCAAAAAAUCUGCGUCCGUGUAUUCGCUAAUUGUCAAGUUUAUAUUUGUAAAAGUCAACAUAGUAGUGUAGGAAGAGAAAUGACAUCUGUUCUGAAAAAACAAUGAAUCCCCUGCUGUAGAUAAUUUGUAUGGACUAAAGUAGCAAUCAAUAAAAGCAUAGACAUUACUUUUGUGCUAUUAAUUAUUGUAUGAACAAGGUCUAAAAAUAUAUUAACUAAAGUGCCUAGUUUGAAAGAGUUGUUGAUAACCCUAUGUGGGAAUGAAUUCUAUUUUCAUCCUCGAAGUAGAGGUAAACCUUUAAAGUUAUGGUGUGCCCCUAUAGAUAUCAACACCCACAUCGAAUCACCACCAACCGAACACCGAAUUCCAUCAAGCGUAGACCUGUUUUGUUAGAAAUCACACCAUCGAUAUCUAUUCCAUCAAAGCAUAUCCUAGCAUUUGCUAGGUUCGAAAUAAUACUAAAAUUUAAUAAUAAUGUAUAAAUGAAUUCGUAGGCUUUGCGCUAGAAGUGGCCGGCGGUCAAAUUGUCAUCUCCGACACCGACGACGACAGGUGGCGCGGCGCACAUGCUAGGUUGGGUGGCAGCGGACAUGUUGCACGCGGUUCAUGUGAGGUGAAGGGAGGGGAGGGUGACGAAAGAGCAGGAGGGUGGUGAUGGCGACAAUCAGUGAGGGCACUGGGACGGUGAAAGGCGAUGGAAGGCAUUUGGCUAGCUACGUAUUUGUGGAAUUUGGCGAAGUCCCAUGUGUGGCCGAAUUGUUAAGGGUAAUGAAAAAUUUACGUAUUUGUGGAUGCCAUUUACACAAAAUUUACCCUAGGUUAUGUUUUGAACAACUUUUUUUCCUGGGGUAAAUUUAUCGUGGUGUUUGUACCUACGUUAUCAUGUCUGUGGUGCAUAUAUUACCAUGCCUUUUACACAGAAAGUUGAUGCGGUAUGUUUUCAACAUCUUUUUUCCCUUGGGCAAAGUUAAUGUGGUGUUUGUACAUAAUUUAUUAGCUCGUUGGUGCGUAUAUUAUCGUUCUAUUUACACAAUAGUCAGCAGGGUAUGUUUUCAACAACUUUUUCCCCUGGUCAAUGUUACCACGUUGUUGUACGUAAGUUACCAGUUCAACCUGCAUGUAUUAUCAUGCUAUUUACAUAGAAAGUUGUCAAUGGUAUGUUUUCAAUAACUUUUUUCCCUUGGGUCAAAGUUAUGCGGUGUUUUUAUGUAAGUUAUCAGGUUUGUAGUUCGUAUAUUACCAUUCUAUUUACACAGAAGUUAUUGGGGGUUUAUUUUCGAUAACUUUUUCCUAAGUCAAUAACUUUUCCAUUCCAGAUCUAGACAAAGCUGGCGGGGGGCUUGAACAACAGGGUGGUGGUGCUGGUCGGAUUGGGAGGAGCUAGAGCAAGAGAUCACCAUAGCUCCUUGUUUGGGCGCUCAGGAGGGAGGAGAUGAACUAGAAGAGAUGUAGGGGUAGGUCGAAGUGGUGGACUAGGGAGAGAGCUUCGGCGGGCAGAGCUCUAGUGGACGGUGCAAUAUGUGGCUUUGUGCCAGAGCAAAGAGGAAGGAGUGGCGUCGGAGCUCAAGCCAUGGUGGCCGUAGCAAUGUGCAUGUCAACUGUUAUGCUAGAUUGUGCACUGUUUUGUCUUGGAUCAUAGCAAUGUGCAUGUCAAUGGUUAUGUUGGAUUGUACACUGCUUUGUCUUGGAUCAUAGCAAUGUGCAUGUUAAUGAUUAUACUAGAUUUUGUAGUGCCUAUGUCUUUGCAUGUCCAUGACUGUGCAAUGCCUUUGUGUUAGAUCAUGCUAAUGUGCAAUGUCCAUGUUUAUGAUUCAAUUAUGUGUUGCCUAUGUCUUUGCAUUCCCAUGUUGUGCUUGAUUCCGCACUUACUUGAUUGAUUGUGCAAUGGUAUCCAUCAACUGGCUUCCAAGACAUGCUCCCGCCGAAUCGGUUGGCACUGAAGCCUGUAGUGCCGGGGAGGAGGGAGCUGGCGGCGGCGCCUCUACACACGCAUGGCCAUCGACCCAAGCUCGACUACAAGGCGAGAGAACCAGUGCCACACCGGUUUUAUGUCCAGAUGGACAUGGACGACAUGGCAAUGCUUAUCAUCUCGACGGCUUUCUAAAGGCUCCUCAAGACCUGGCCGAACACCUUGCUACCUCUUGAGCAUGCGUUGGUUUGCCCCUGAAGAGGAAAGGGUGAUGCAGCAAAGUAGCGUAAGUAUUUCCCUCAGUUUUUGAGAACCAAGGUAUCAAUCCAGUAGGAGACUACACGCAAGUCCCUCGUACCUGCACAAACAAUUAAGAACCUUGCAACCAACGCGAUAAAGGGGUUGUCAAUCCCUUCACGGCCACUUGCAAAAGUGAGAUCUGAUAAAGAUAAUAAGAUAAAUAUUUUUGGUAUUUUUGUUGUAUAGAUUAAAAAGUAAAGAUUCCAAAAUAAACGGCGGCAGAAAUAGCACAUUAGCGGGAGAUUAAUAUGAUGGAAAAUAGACCCGGGGGCCAUAGGUUUCACUAGUGGCUUCUCUCAAGAUGGCAAAUUCUACGGUGGGUGAACAAAUUACUGUCGAGCAAUUAAUAGAAAAGCGCAUAAUUAUGAGAAUAUCUAGGCAUGAUCAUGUAUAUAGGCAUCACGUCCGUGACAAGUAGACCACUACAAAAAAAAAAAGACACAUCCGUGACAUUUUGGGCCGAACGAUUUUUUUUCUAUCAUACUUAUGACACUUCUAUGAAGAUAAUUGUGACAAAACCCGGUAUCAUCAUAGAUGUGGUGGGGUCCUACUUCUAUGACAAAAAAUCAUGACAGAAAAUGGGCUUUUCGUUCUGGGCGGGCCGGAGACGCAGCUGCAUGACAUUCUUUGGGCCAUCCAUGACGGAAAAAACCGUGGUAGAAGCGAGG